CACACACACACACACACACACAAUGUUAUCAAAAUAAACUGCAACAAAAGCUUUCAAGAAAGGCUCGAGUUCAUCCAUCACAACCCUCAUGAAUAUGCUUGGCAUAUUGGAACGGCUAAAUGGCAUUACCAACCAUUCCAAUAUACCAUUUGGUGUUUUGAAAGUUUUCUUUCAUUCAUCUCGUCUUCUCAUUCUAAUUUGAUGAUAUUUGCUUGUUAAAUAUAUCUUGGAGAACACUUUAUAAACAACUAAUUGAUAAAGUAUUUUUUUUCCAAUUGAGGAAUAGGAAAAUAAUAAUUGACUAUAAAUUUGUUUAUAGCAUGACUGUCUACAUACAUCCUUCAUAAGCCAUCUUCUUUAGGAGACAAUAAAGCUGGGCAAGCACAAGGACUUUUUACUUUCGCCCACCAAACCAUUCUUCAAUAACUCCUCAACUUGUCUUCGUAUCUCAGCUUGCUACAUUGGUGGCAGAUUUGGUAAAGAUGCUCCAGGUACCAAAUCGAUGAGGUGUUGAAUGGUCCAUAGAGGUGGUAAACUUCACUAACCAACUCUCUGAAUUCCUAUAAUAGCUGCUGAAUUUCAUUGGGAUAUUGAGGUGAUUCCCUAAUCCAGUCACUCUCCAAUAGCUUAUUUACUAAAGCAUACACGACUCCCAUUUCACUACUUUCAACUUCAAACCAUUUAGCAGACAAAUACCCUUCAGUUUUGUUGGCUGUAGGACUCAGUAGGACUCCAUAUUGUCAAUUUCUUCUCCUCUUCCUUAAUAAGUUAUGGAAUAUACAUCUUAUUGUCUUUGUAGAAAUAAUAAGUAUUAGACUUCAUCUUAUGUUCCAUGUCAUGAUCAAGCAACCAAGGUCUACCAACGAGAAUAUGACCAACAUCCAUUGUGACAAUAUCACAUAGAGCCUCAUCAUUCCUAGUUACUGCCCAUUGUGAAUUUUACCAAACAUUGAGAAGUUACCGGUCUCUUUUGCCUUUCUCGAGCUACCCAAUUUUGUAGGGAUGAGGAUGUUUAUUCGUAGGAAGCUUCAAUUUGUCUACAUCCUCUUCUGAGAUGAUAUUCUCCAUGCUUCCUCUGUCGAUGACAAGAUAACACUCAUACCCUUCUCAAAGUGUGCCAAAGGUACUACACCUCCUCCAAUCUUCCUCUUUGUCAUUGUUUGUUUUAUGUCAUCACUCUUUCACUCCAUGAAGCACUCCCCUUGUGCUGGAUGAACGUCAACUUUCUCUAACUCCUCAUCAAACCUCAUCAAACCUCAUCAACGUUAUUAUAAAUUGAUUCCAAAUCUUCCUCAAAUUCUGCGCGGUUCACUGUUCAUUGUGGGCAAGCAAAAGAAGUGUGUCCCUUUGCUUCACAAGUAAAACACCGAAUCUGGGUAUUGCUGCCUCCUUUAGUUGUGGAAAAACCAAAAUUGUUUUGUCCACUGUAAGGCACUAUACUCUUGUCUUUAUCACUCUUUUCAGCAUUGGUUUCACCCCAUUAUUUUUUUUGUUGGUUGCAGCAGCCCCCCUUGGUAAUUUCAUUUAGUUGUUUGAUAGCUACAUUCUGCUCAAGAAUUGUUUUGCCAAUUGGCGUCAUGUAAGGACUUUCUAGCACCAUAGCGUGAACUUGCUUUUCAGCUGCUAAAGCAUAAUGGCAGGUAUCCUAUAUGUUGUACAAAUGAAUUACUCCCAUAUUGUCUCUAAUAGAGUGAUUUGAACCUGCAAGAUAACAAGAAGUAAUUU
rnacentral:misc_RNA from 1 species